rnacentral:rRNA from 1 species
UUGACCUCGGAUCAGGUAGGGAUACCCGCUGAACUUAAGCAUAUCAAUAAGCGGAGGAAAAGAAACCAACAGGGAUUGCCUCAGUAACGGCGAGUGAAGCGGCAAUAGCUCAAAUUUGAAAGCUGGCGUCUUCGACGUCCGCGUUGUAAUUUGUAGAGGAUGCUUCGGCAAGGACUCCUGCCUAAGUCCCCUGGAACGGGGCGUCACAGAGGGUGAGAAUCCCGUACGUGGCGGGCGGUCCAAGCCAUGUGAAGCUCCUUCGACGAGUCGAGUUGUUUGGGAAUGCAGCUCUAAAUGGGAGGUAAAUUUCUUCUAAAGCUAAAUAUUGGCCAGAGACCGAUAGCGCACAAGUAGAGUGAUCGAAAGAUGAAAAGCACUUUGGAAAGAGAGUUAAAAAGUACGUGAAAUUGUUGAAAGGGAAGCGCUUGCAACCAGACUCGCUCGCAGUUGCUCAGCCGGCCUCUUGGCCGGUGUACUCUUCUGCGAUCGGGCCAGCAUCAGUUCGGGCGGCCGGAUAAAGGUGUCGGGAAUGUAGCACCCUUCGGGGUGUGUUAUAGCCCGGUGCGGAAUGCGGCCAGCCUGGACUGAGGAUCUCGCUUUUGCAAGGAUGCUGACGUAAUGGUUGUAAGCGGCCCGUCUU